GGCGAUGAUGCAUAGCCGAGUUGAGAGACUGAUGGCCACAUUGGGACUGAGACACGGCCCAAACUCCUACGGGAGGCAGCAGCAGGGAAUCUUCCACAAUGGACGCAAGUCUGAUGGAGCAACGCCGCGUGAGUGAAGAAGGGUUUCGGCUCGUAAAGCUCUGUUGUUGGUGAAGAAGGACAGGGGUAGUAACUGACCUUUGUUUGACGGUAAUCAAUUAGAAAGUCACGGCUAACUACGCGCCAGCAGCCGCGGUAAU
rnacentral:rRNA from 1 species